UACCAGCACCCCGAGUGGUCGGGACGUUUUAUUGGGCCUAAAGCAUCCGUAGCCGGUUCUACAAGUCUUCCGUUAAAUCCAGCUGCUUAACAGAUGGGCUGCGGAAGAUACUAUGGAGCUAGGAGGCGGGAGAGGCAAGCGGUACUCGAUGGGUAGGGGUAAAAUCCGUUGAUCCAUUGAAGACCACCAGUGGCGAAGGCGGCUUGCCAGAACGCGCUCGACGGUGAGGGAUGAAAGCUGGGGGAGCAAACCGGG
rnacentral:rRNA from 1 species